AACGAACGCUGGCGGCAUGCCUAACACAUGCAAGUCGAACGAGACCUUCGGGUCUAGUGGCGCACGGGUGCGUAACGCGUGGGAACCUGCCCUUAGGCUCGGAAUAACUCCCCGAAAGGGGUGCUAAUACCGGAUAAUGUCUUCGGACCAAAGAUUUAUCGCCUUUGGAUGGGCCCGCGUUGGAUUAGCUAGUUGGUAGGGUAAAAGCCUACCAAGGCGACGAUCCAUAGCUGGUCUGAGAGGAUGAUCAGCCACACUGGGACUGAGACACGGCCCAGACUCCUACGGGAGGCAGCAGUGGGGAAUAUUGGACAAUGGGCGAAAGCCUGAUCCAGCAAGGCCGCGUGAGUGAUGAAGGCCUUAGGGUUGUAAAGCUCUUUUACCCGGGAUGAUAAUGACAGUACCGGGAGAAUAAGCUCCGGCUAACUCCGUG
rnacentral:rRNA from 1 species